rnacentral:rRNA from 1 species
CAAACUGAAGAUGGCGACCGGCGCACGGGUGAGUAACACGUAUCCAACCUGCCGAUGACUCGGGGAUAGCCUUUCGAAAGAAAGAUUAAUACCGGAUAGUAUACGAAUAUCGCAUGAUAUUUUUAUUAAAGAAUUUCGGUUAUCGAUGGGGAUGCGUUCCAUUAGUUUGUUGGCGGGGUAACGGCCCACCAAGACUACGAUGGAUAGGGGUUCUGAGAGGAAGGUCCCCCACAUUGGAACUGAGACACGGUCCAAACUCCUACGGGAGGCAGCAUG